rnacentral:lncRNA from 1 species
AGGUCCGGAAGACUAUGGUUACAAGGCCAAUUUUGCUGGCUAUAUGUAGAGGCUUCAGAAACAAAGGGAGUACAUAGCUCUUCUUAAAAUCGUAGGUAUUUAUGCCUGAGAUGAAACUGAAUUCUGUUUGGGCAAGAGAUGUUCUAAUGUAUACAAAGCAAAGAACAGCACGGUGACUCUUGGCAGCAAAUCGUACAAAACCAGAGUAAUCUGGUUAAAGGUAACUCAUGCCCAUGGAAACAGUGGCAGGAUUUGUUUCAAAUUCUUAAGCAACCUUCCUGCUAAGGCCAUUGGAUGGAGAAUUCAUGUGAUGCUGUACCCUUCAAGGAUUUUAA